ensembl:misc_RNA Metazoa_SRP Metazoan signal recognition particle RNA
GCUGGGCAUAGUGGUACAUGUCUGUAGUCCCAGCUAUUCGGGAGGCUGAGGUGGGAGGAUAGCUUGGGUCCAGAAGUUCUGCACUGUGAUCUGCACUAUGCUCCACAUCAGUAUAUGAAUGCCUGGGAACAGGGUGCCACCAGGUUGCCUAAGCGGGGAUGAAUCGGCCCAGCUCAGAAAGGGAGCAGGUCAAAAUUCCCUUGCUGAUCAGUAGUGGGAUCAUGCCUAUGAAUCAUCACUGCACUCCAGUCUGAGCAACAUAGGAAGACCUUGACUUUU